GACUUCCUUAGAAACCAGCUCAGGAAGAGCAUGAUCGUCUGCACCAAAUACAGAAAGGGAGGGUGAAUGUAAUAAUAUCGGUAUCCUCUGUACAGAUACGUUAGGCCCCCGUUAUAAUGCAAUGAUUUAAACAGAGGAAUCACGACACAUACAGAGUGUAUCAAACACUUAUUUUUACUGCAAUGUCACACGUUUUAAUAACUUAUGGACAUAUAUCAACCUGGAGAUUUAUUCUAGAAGAAAUUCACACAUUUAGUUAAUUUUUUAUCUUUAUUACUUAAGGACUAGGUUAUUGUUUUCUUUAUCAUGUCUUCUUUUGGUUUUGUCUUCAGUCUGUUGUUGUAAAUGCUGCUUUAAUACUGCGCUGUUUGCUUUAAGGCCUAAUAAUUGAUUGCAGUGGUUAUGGUGUUAGUAGGAUUAUGUGUGUCUCUUCUCCCAGAGAUGGUCCCUUGCUAGCAGAACACACGUUACUAUAUCAGUUUGGUCCGUAUUGGGAGGCAGUGAUAGGCUGAGUGAUUCUGUACCUGUAAACUGCGAUUCUGUAAUCAAUUCCAGUGUAAUAUGUUUUCUAUCAGGCAGUAAAGGGUACUAAUUAUUAAAUGAA